rnacentral:misc_RNA from 1 species
GGUCUACUAUUUUACUCUUUUCCAAGUGCAUAGAAGCUUUCAAAAUUAUAAUUAUUUCUUAGCAUAGAAGAGCUGGGCCACUCUUUCAUCGUCCUCCUUUCACAUUAACUUACACUGGGAUUUGCUAAAUGACAAAAUGGGACAUUUACUAUCUUCUUCAACCUCCAAGAUUCCAACCAGAUUACCCGUUGUGUAAUUUUUUAAACCAAGUUGAAUGGGCACAGUUCCGCUGUAACCGUAAAAUCCCUCAUUUCUGGUUCCAAGUUCCAAUCUUCCUCAUUGGUCUUGCUUUCAGCGACGUCAUUUUAGAAGGUUGUCAAGGCUUCCCCUCAAGGUUCUUUUUCUCUUAUGCCCAUCAUGUAUUCGAUGAAAUGCUUUCAUCGGCUAUGUACAUCUUCUUUUAGGAGAAUUUCGGUAGUUUCAGCAAGAGAACUAAAGUCCCUAAUUGUUGUUGUUCUUGGAACGGAACUGUAUAAAAUUGGAAUUCUUCAUCGGCUGCGAGUGGUGUGGGGCACGUGAACGUUGAUGGUCGACGCGAUGCCGGAUAAGGCGGUGGAGAGGCUGCUGGGUGCAAUAGGUGCCCGGAAUUUCAACGGAUUCGAGUCUGUGUAGUUUGUCCUUGAUUAAUUUGCUGAUAAGAAAGGUUGCUAACAAUCGCAAGGUGAAUAUCAAGAGCUUCAAUUGAAAGAAGGAUCGAAAUACUGGAUUUUUCUUUUGCUACUAUGAGAAAGAAAAACACACCAUGACAUGGUCAACACAAAAUGAGAAGAUCGAUAUAUUGUGCAGUGUAGUCCAAUUAUUUGGCAGGGAUUUUUUUUUUUUUUCUCAAUUAUCAGGAAUGCAUACUUAAAACAAAAAAUGAUAACAGGGAUUAUCACACAAAAUGACAAUCUUUGAGGAUUCAUAAUAAUCUAUAUGUGGGUGCCUGAAAAGAUAAAAUUUGAAAUGGCACAAAGUAAAGGCUCAUCAUCUCUUAACUGUAUUACCAAAGAAAUUUACAUAUUUUGAGAUGCUGUAUUUGAAUGGUUGCAUAAGAAACUCUCAUCUUAAAACAACAUUUAGCUUGCUUUGCACUUGUUCUCUCACAUUCCACUGCAAAUCAUUAAUUUCCUCAUCUGUUAGUGAACGUUCCAUAGAGCGAUAAGCUAUCCUAUAACAGUGACUUGUCAUUCCUUUCUUGUUGGUAAAAUUAUCUAUCAAGCUCACCUCCUCAACAAGAUCACCAGCAACUCCUCUGAUAAGUUCACAUAAAUUAUUUUCAGUGAAUGCUUCGUUAAUCCAAAAACUCAUGUCUUUAUAACAGGGAGGAUACUUUGAGAAUGGCUUAAACUUGAUGCCCAAUUGGCCACUACAAAACUACAUGAAAGGAUAAACACCUUCAAAUUAGUUACUUGGCAUACUAGAUCAUAGAGAUACCAUAAAUGUCAACUUGUGGCAUUAAAAUAUUCAAAGUUCAAAUGAACGCAACUUAAACAUAAAUAAAUCAGAGGACGAAAAAUCAGCCAAAAGUAUCGUAAUUCAUGACUUACCUGAGAAAUAAAGCGCUCAUCAUUUGACCAGAAAAGCCGUAUAUCAGGUAUGUCAAACAGAACCAUUGCCAGACGCUCCAAUCCAAGUCCAAAAGCCCAAGCGACAUUAUCAGGUCUGCCAUUUCUCCUUAAAAUUUCUUGCUCUGUCACACCACAACCUAAGACUUCUAACCAGUUCUCCUUAAAAUAUAUCUCUAACUCAAAAGAAGGAUUGGUGAAUGGAAAAUAAGUAUCAAUCCAGCGCAUCUCCACAGCACCAAAUAAAUGCCUAGCCAAACCCUCGAGACAUUUCUUUAAAUCCUCAGCAGCAUAAGAUGUGGCAUCCAAGCCAGAGGGCUCCCAUUCAUCUGGAGAGAAAACACGAAAACCUUCCAUCUGAUGGAAAACAGGGUAAUGAGUUGAAUCAAUAGAAUCUCUACGGUAGACAUCUCCGGUUACUAGGAAAUGAGAGUGGCCCUCCCUUAAUAGCUCUGCCUGAUGCGCACUCGUAUGACACCUCAAGACAGUUUGAGAGUCAACAUAGUAUGUGUCAUUAUAGCUCCUACUUACAUGAUCAGCAGGAACCAAGACAUCAUCAAAAUUCUGUUUUACAGAUACUAGUGGACAGAGAUCAUCAAAUUUAUCAAACUUGCUUGAGAAAUUGGUGUCAAAAUACUCAUAUAUUGCAUUCUUCAAAAUCCCAAUUGGGUGUUGAUUCCUCCUAUGAAGUUGCAUUCCAAGUUUUGAAAAAAUUGUAUCCGGAACAUUGUUGGUGGGAUCAUCUCUAACCACAUCAUCUUUAGCAAUCUUGACUCCACCUAGUUCGAGAAUAGAAACGACAGGUCGUCUCCACUUUCUUUUAUCAGUAGUAGAGAGAGCAGAGGAGGAAGAGAAAGGCGCAGAGAAGGUGAAGUGACUAAAGGCAUUUCUUCUCCUAUGGAGAAACAGCGAUGAUGUUCUGAGGGAAAAGACAGCGUAGUGCGCAAGAGAAAACGCCUUUGCCAUGGCUACCCACUUUCCUAGGGAGAAACAAACCACAGAAAAUACCGAACUCAAUCUGCA